rnacentral:lncRNA from 1 species
AAUCCAGAGACGGAUUGCUGAGAUGAUUCCUGCUUUCCGGCUCCCCGACACCCGCUGUUCUUUAGAUCCGCUCAGCGGCGCUUUUUCCUGUGCCACGUGCCCAGAUCUGAGCGAGGCUUGGGAAGACGCGAACGGGCUGUAAAAUCUGUCCCCAGAACUGGAGAGCACUUUGGCAAAGGAGUGUGAGUUUUGGGGAAGCUCAAGGAAGAGGUACCAGGUAGAGAGAGGGCCAGGGCUGAGUUCACGGGCUCUUUCUAAAUGGAAAUGUCUCACAUUCAGCUGUUGUCUGCCUUUGAGUCACACAGAACCACUUGCAGGAAGAACUCUAGAGAAUUUGGGAAGAAAGGGGGAGAGGACAGACAAAAGAUGCAUUUUUCUUUCAAGAAGCAGGAAAAUGUAAGGAAAAUUGAAGGUGUUCUCAAGUGUGUCUGCUGCUGCCUGACACAGGUUAACCCCGUCGCAGGUCACUCCGCUCUGUUAAUUGCAUCCUAACCUUCCUCGGCUCUUCGGCAGCGAAAUCGCAGCAGAGGAGAUGGAGCAGCUUCGUGCGCAUUGCUCAUUUGCGCCAACGUGAAAAGAACUGCCAGGAUGCCCAGGACACCAGCUCCCUGGCUUCUGCGGUGCUUGCACAGUCCUGAAUCAGCCCGAGAGCUGUGGAUCUGCGUCCCCUGGCUGCAUAGCCGACUGCCGGCUCCAUGGAGGGGCCUGUGCCGGAGAACGCACAUGUUGACUUAUUUCUUCAGUCUAGGCCUUUCUUGGCCCCCUUGGUUAUUCAUUCUAGAUGAUACAACUCUUAUUUCAGUUCAAAUGUCUCACGGAAGAGGCAUUGAAGACAGAGUGGAUGCCCGUGUUUGUUGGCAGUAGGUAGUAUUUACCACUCCGGUUGUAGUAAAAGAACAAAAGGAGAAAUUACACCUAUUUCUCAUAUUUAAGGGAAAAGCAAUUAAAUCACCAAAGUCAGAUUCUCG